AUCUAUGGCCAUGCCACGCUGAACAUGCCUGAUCCUGUCUGAUCUCAGAAGCUAAGCAGGAUCGGGUCUGGUUAGUAUUUGGAUGGGAGACCAACUAGGAAGACCAGGUGCUGUAGGCA
rnacentral:rRNA from 1 species